rnacentral:rRNA from 1 species
GCAGUCGACGGUAACGCGGGGCACCUGGCGACGAGUGGCGAACGGGUGAGUAAUAUAUCGGAACGUGCCCAAUCGUGGGGGAUAACGUAGAGAAAUUUACGCUAAUACCGCAUACGAUCUAAGGAUGAAAGCGGGGGAUCGCAAGACCUCGCGCGAUUGGAGCGGCUGAUAUCAGAUUAGGUUGUUGGUGAGGUAAAAGCUCACCAAGCCGACGAUCUGUAGCUGGUUUGAGAGAACGACCAGCCACACUGGGACUGAGACACGGCCCAGACUCCUACGGGAGGCAGCAGUGGGGAAUUUUGGACAAUGGGCGAAAGCCUGAUCCAGCAAUGCCGCGUGCAGGAAGAAGGCCUUCGGGUUGUAAACUGCUUUUGUACGGAACGAAACGGCUCUUUCUAAUAAAGAGGGCUAAUGACGGUACCGUAAGAAUAAGCACCGGCUAACUACGUGCCAGCAGCCGCGGUAAUACGUAGGGUGCGAGCGUUAAUCGGAAUUACUGGGCGUAAAGCGUGCGCAGGCGGUUAUGUAAGACAGUUGUGAAAUCCCCGGGCUCAACCUGGGAAUUGCAUCUGUGACUGCAUAGCUAGAGUACGGUAGAGGGGGAUGGAAUUCCGCGUGUAGCAGUGAAAUGCGUAGAUAUGCGGAGGAACACCGAUGGCGAAGGCAAUCCCCUGGACCUGUACUGACGCUCAUGCACGAAAGCGUGGGGAGCAAACAGGAUUAGAUACCCUGGUUAGUCCACGCCCUAAACGAUGUCAACUGGUUGUUGGGUGCAUUAGUACUCAGUAACGAAGCUAACGCGUGAAGUUGACCGCCUGGGGAGUACGGCCGCAAGGUUGAAACUCAAAAGGAAUUGACGGGGGACCCGCACAACCGGUGGAAUGAUGUUGGUUUUAAUUCGAUUC